UCUUAAUUUUCUCUCUCUCCUCAGCUUUUUGUUGUUUUCAAUGUAAAUAAAAUCCACUUAAUUGCAGAAGUAACAUAUAGUCUUUGUGGUGUAACAACAAGAACAUUCCAGAAAUAUCUCCAUGUUGUGCUUAUAAAUAUCAUCACCUCUCUUGUUAGUAAAAGGCAUCUAGCAACAAAGCCUGUUUAGAACCUGAGUUGGAGUUGGUGAUCCUGUGAAUACAGUAAUGGUAGACGAGGUUUAGCAACACAAGACUGAGAGGAAUACAAGACCGAGAACAAUACAAGGCAGAGAACAAUACAAGACCGAAUGACUAUAGCUAGCAAAACUUAAGAAGGACCAAUCCCUUUUCUAACCGAGAGCACACAAGACCGAGAGCAAUACAAGACUGAGACCGAACGGCUAUAUUCUGCAGAAUUCUGCAAAAUUAUGCAGAAUCAUGACAGCAUCACAUAUAACCAUUUCUAAGGAUUUUUACCAACUUCUAACAUCUUUAAUUUUUGUUUUAGAUUCAAUUAAACUUAUCUCAAUGAUUCUAAACAUCCCCACUACCUUUCUAAAGUGAUUUACACUCCAUUUUAACUCUAAAACGCCAAUUUUUCUAUCUUAGAGACUCAAAACCCGAUCUUACCUCUUUGCACCUAUUUUGAUCAAUUUAGUGACUCAAACAAGUCAAAAUACAGUGGCUAAAACUGUCCCCAACAGUCUAAAAACGCUGCAGACCUCAUUUGCUCAAAAUCAUUACCUCACUUCCUCUAAAAGACCUAAAGUAGACUCUAAAAACACUUGACUUCCUAUCUAACAGUACUACAACAGAAUUUCCAUCCAAACAGUUCCAACAUACACAAUUUCAGCAGUCUAAAUCAUUCCAAAACAGUUUAUAAUCAUCAAAUUCUAAAUUCACAUAUUUAAACACUUCCAUACAUGCAUCUCAAGUCACUAGAACCAAUUCCAUGCUUCCAACAACAUACCACUUCAAAAAUUAUCAUGCAUUCACAUCACACAACUAAAACGAAAAUCGCACAACUAAAACGAAAAUCGCACAACUAAAACGAAAAUCGCACAACUAGCUCCCCUUACCUCUAUGCAAGACGCCAAGUUCACGGAGAAACCCUAAACCACUCGUUUGCACUCCCAAAAUAUUAAAAGCACCUAUAUAAAUCAUCAAUUGAUGAUGGAGAAUGAACUUUAGAACUAAAUAGAAGUUAUAUAUGGAAGAAAACGAAAUGGGCUGCAUGCAACAAGUUUAAUCGCAUGCUUACAGCUCUAGGGAAAAUAAAAAAGGCAUCUUCUUACCGGUUGGAGGAAACGGAAAUUCAAAUAGUAGAAACUUACUCUUGAAUCCCUACCGAAUUAAGUAUCUUCUGUUCCACAAGUCAAGGAUCAAGAAUAUGAGUUUGAGAUGGAAGGGUAAUAGGGCAAAGAAGCAAAAGAGAGAAUGCUUGAAGAAAAGGGAAACAUUCUUAAAA
rnacentral:lncRNA from 1 species